AGGUGUUUGGAUUAAUGGGAUAUCCCAGAAAUAGUGUGUGCAGCCUCCCAGGGGACAACUUCUGCUGUCAGCCACCCAGACCAGUCAGCCGCGGAGAGCAGCAGCCUGCAGAUGGGACACCAGUGCUGAGUGGGACAGGUGCUGGCUUGGCCUUGGGAUGUCACAUGCAUACCCUCCCAGUGGACGUGAGGAUUCCAGGGGCUCAUGGGAUCUGCCUGCUGCACCCACAGGUGUGGCAGGCGUGCUUGUGGGACACCCGUUUGACACGGUCAAGGCCCUUGGGACUGAAAGAAUCCAAGAUCUGGAUCUCCUCUAUAGCGCCCAGAACCACAGCCACCGUCCUGAAGCACACGGCCUUCACACGUUUCUAC
rnacentral:lncRNA from 1 species